rnacentral:rRNA from 1 species
GACGAACGCUGGCGGCGUGCUUAACACAUGCAAGUCGAACGGAGUGGCGAACGGGUGAGUAACACGUGGGUGAUCUGCCUUGCACUUCGGGAUAAGCUUGGGAAACUGGGUCUAAUACCGGAUAGUGCAAGAUGAGCUCGGGGCCUAUCAGCUUUUUGGUGGGGUAAUGGCCUACCAAGGCGUCGACGGGUAGCCGGCCUGAGAGGGGGUACGGGCCCAUUGGGCCUGAGGUACGGCCCAGACUCCUACGUGAGGCAGCAGUGGGAAAUAUUGCACGAUGGGCGGAAGCCUGAUGGAGCGACGCCGGGUGGGGGAUGAAGGCCUUCGGGUUGUAAACUCCUUUCGACAGGGACGCGGUACCGGUGUAGGAAGCACCGGCUAACUACGUGCCAGCAGCGGCGGUAAUA